rnacentral:rRNA from 1 species
CCUACGGGGGGCAGCAGUGGGGAAUAUUGCACAAUGGGGGAAACCCUGAUGCAGCGACGCCGCGUGAGUGAAGAAGUCUUUCGGUACGUAAAGCUCUAUCAGUAGGGAAGAAAAUGACGGUACCUGACUAAGUAGCACCGGAUAACUACGGGCCAGCAGCCGCGGUAAUACGCAGGGGGCAAGCGUUAUCCGGAUUUACUGGGUGUAAAGGGAGCGUAGACGGCUGCGCAAGUCUGGAGUGAAAUCCCUUGGCUUAACCAUGGAACUGAUGUUGAUACUGGGCAGCUAGAGUGCAGGAGAGGUAGGCGGAAUUCCUGGUGUAGCGGUGAAAUGCGUAGAGAUUAGGAGGAACACCGGUGGCGAAGGCGGCUUACUGGACUAUAACUGACGUUGAGGCUCGAAAGCGUGGGGAGCAAACAGGAUUAGAUACCCGAGUAGUC